UGAGGUAUCCUGGGUAGGGCUCACGUAGUAAGCUAUGGAGGGAGCCCAACAGCCAGGGAGGAACUGUGGCCUGUGGACAGCAAUAUGAGUGAGCUUGGCAAUGGGCGGCCCCCCCCCCGGUUAAGUCUUCGCAUGAGACCGCCACCCUGGCCUGCAGUUUGAUUGUAGCCUGCGAGAGACCUUGGGCCAGACACCCCAGUUCAGCUGUGUUGGAUUGCUGACCCACAAAGACUGCAAGAUGAUAAAUGCAAGUUGUUCUAGGCUGCUGGGUUUGGGGUAAUUUGUUACAUAGCAAUGGAUGGCUAACGCGGCGGCCCUGUGGGCUUUCAUUGCGUCGGUGUGCUGACAUCACAGCCUAAUCUGGGCCCAGAUUUCCUGCAGGUGCCCAGUUGCCAUAGAUGAUCUUUGCUCCCUGUAGGCCCCAGAAUCUAGGCAGACCGCGUCAAAAGUGUCAUGGAAAUGCAGCUUCACUUAGCAUAUAAAUAGCUUGCAAUUAAUUUUUCUCCACAAGAGAACUUGUUACUGGAAGAGCUCUCGGGCCACUAACCCCACUGCCUAGCCCUUCACGGUAUCAGACGAGGUCAGGAGUUUCCACAAAGAGCGUUGGCCCAACUUUCGGCUCAGCAAACCCUGAUUUAUUUUCCUGUGGAGUGAAGGCUCCUUACAGCAGGAGGGCUGUGGUGGCAAAGAGGGGUUGGACUUAUUUUCCGAGGUUCCAAGAAGUCCCAACAUUUCAGUUUCAUUUAGGGAGAAACUAAUCAGAGCCAUGAAACCACGCCUGGACCGGCUCACUGGGUGAGAGGAAAGUCGUCCCUAGAGACGAGCGAUGUGCUGGCAAAUCUUCAAUUCCUGGCAUUCUGGCGGAAAGGAGGAAGGAAGUCCUGACUUGUAGCAGUUGCCAAUUUCUGUGGCACAAAUUGUGCUACCACCUCUGAUCUCCAGCUGCCAACGUGACAUCGCUGGCUUUGGAAACGGGAAGAGACGCCAGCAGCACCCCAUUCUACAGUCCUUCCAGCAUCCAGUUACAGUAGAUGCAAAAUCCUCGGUAGCAUGGGUAAUUGUAAACUGUAGGAAAAUAAUCAGGAAGGAAUGAAUUAUGAGUAUUUAUCAUCUUUUUUUAAUAUAACUUUUAAUUGUAAGUUUACGUAAUUUAAUUUUUAAGUAAUGACUGUGUUUAACAACUUACUUCCAAAAUUUCUGAACAAAGAGCAAUCAGCUCUCACGGUCUGGUCCAAACCAGCCCCGGGACACAAAUGCCAGAAACCUUGCAGCCACCUUCCACUAUGUCUCACUGGCCAGGACACGGUCACAUGGCCACCUUGGGCUAUAUGGGAGGAUGGGAAGGCAAGAAACUAUUCGGGGCUCUGUAAUGGAACACGGCCAGGGCAGAGGGGGCCUGGAAGGACUGACCGGUCUGCCUGCAACCAGUUGCCCUCGAACAAAAACGUGCUGGGCACAGCGAUGAGAAAGACAGGCUCCAUUUCUCUUCUCAUGGGGCUUCCACACUAUUGGCAAGAGAGAGAUUUUAAACAAAUAAGUAUAAUUGUGAUGAAUGCCAG
ensembl:lncRNA